AAGUCGUAACAAGGUCUCCGUAGGUGAACCUGCGGAGGGAUCAUUAACAAAUCAAACACACACCCUGUGUAAGCGUCUGUUCCUGGCUGGGUCAAGUGGGGAGUGCGCACAAAAGUUGGGGUCAUGGGGGGAAGCGGGCAACCGCCGAUACUCCGCCCGCCGAGUCGCGCCCACCAGGAUCAACAACCCCAAACCAUAUCAUGAUUGUCAGCUGUAUUACAAAGUGUAAUUACAAACAACUUUUAACAAUGGAUCUCUUGGCUCUC
rnacentral:misc_RNA from 1 species